GGGGGGAGCUCAGUGGCAGAGCCCACGCCUAGCACGCAUGAGGUCCUGGGUUCAGUUCCCAGUACCUCCA
rnacentral:tRNA from 1 species